GACAGAGGGUGCAAACGUUGUUCGGAAUUACUGGGCGUAAAGCGCGUGUAGGCUGCUCGGAAAGUCGGAUGUGAAAGCCCUGGGCUCAACCUAGGAAGUGCAUUCGAAGCUUCCGAGCUGGAGUGCUGGAGAGGAAGGCGGAAUUCUCGGUGUAGAGGUGAAAUUCGUAGAUAUCGAGAGGAACACCGGUGGCGAAGGCGGCCUUCUGGACAGCCACUGACGCUGAGACGCGAAAGCGUGGGGAGCGAACAGG
rnacentral:rRNA from 1 species